UCGAACCCGGAGAUAGCUGGUUCUCCUCGAAAUAGCUUUAGGGCUAGCCUCGAUAGAGUCUUGCGGAGGUAGAGCACUGAAUUUCCUAGGGGGCGUCAAAGCUUACCGAAGAAUAUCAAACUCCGAAUGCCGCGUAGAUGGUGUAUGGGAGUCAGACUGCACGAGAUAAGUUGGGUAGUCAAAAGGGAAAGAGCCCAGACCUACAGCUAAGGUCCCAAAGUGCGUGUUAAGUGGAAAAGGAUGUGGGAUUUCGAAGACAACUAGGAUGUUGGCUCAGAAGCAGCCAUACAUUCAAAGAGUGCGUAAUAGCUCACUAGUCGAGAGGUCCUGCGCCGAAAAUGUCCGGGGCUAAAACACGACACCGAAGCUGUGGAUCCGAAAGGAUGGUAGAGGAGCAUUCUUAAGUCGACGAAGCUGUACUGUAAGGAGCAGUGGAGAGUUAAGAAGAGAGAAUGCCGGAAUGAGUAGCGAGAUUUAAGUGAGAAUCUUAAAGGCCGAAUAUCUAAGGUUUCCAGGGUAAAGCUGAUCUUCCCUGGGUAAGUCGGGGCCUAAGGCGAGGGCGAGAGCCGUAGUCGAUGGAUAACAGGUUGAAAUUCCUGUACUGCUUAUGGACAGAACUGUGGGGACGCAGAAGGAGAGCACGAGCCGGAAAUGGAAAAGCCGGUACAAGCGUAUAGCAGUCAUGCAGGCAAAACCGCAUGAAAAAUGUAAAGCGUUAUGUGGAUCGAACAUUAGUAGAGAAGCGUGUGAGCCAGCUGCCAAGAAAAGCCGCUAUUGCUUCAUAAGUACCCGUACCGUAAACCGACACAGGUGGAUGAGGAGAGAAUCCUAAGGCCGACGGGAGAAGCAUUGUUAAGGAACUCGGCAAAAUGACUCCGUAACUUCGGGAGAAGGAGUGCCAUGAGAGUGGCCGCAGAGAAAUGGCCCAAGCAACUGUUUAGCAAAAACACAGGUCUAUGCAAAACCGAAAGGUGAGGUAUAUGGGCUGACGCCUGCCCGGUGCUGGAAGGUUAAGAGGAGAGGUUAGCGCAAGCGAAGCUUUGAAUUUAAGCCCCAGUAAACGGCGGCCGUAACUAUAACGGUCCUAAGGUAGCGAAAUUCCUUGUCGGGU
rnacentral:rRNA from 1 species